GAAGUGGCGGUAACGCCCGGCCCUGCCCCCAGCAGAGGCGGAAGCGGUGUCGCUCUGAGGGGUCGCCAGUCGCCGCAGGCGCUUCAGCCCAGCGGCGGGCCUUGGCCCUUGGCUGCCUACUCCUACCGCCCCAGCCCCGGGCGGCCCUGGGCCUGCUGCGGGCGCGGCGCUGCCCGACCAGAGCUUCCUGUGGAACGUCUUCCAGAGGGUCGAUAAAGACAGGAGUGGAGUGAUAUCAGACACCGAGCUUCAGCAAGCUCUCUCCAACGGUGAGUGGGCCAGUGGGAACUGGGUCUCCGGACCAAGAAGCCGUGAGCCUGCCCUGUUCACAGUGGAUAACUUUCUGAAGUUGUUUUUCCAAGGACAAAGGAAUCAUUAGGACAAAUUGUUAAUACUGCUUCAUGGUGGAGAUGCUUCUGGUUUAUUUUGUGGCUACCGCUGUUACUGCUUGGAGUGCCUCACCGAGCCAGGAUGAAGCCCCACCCGCCCUUCAGGAUGCCAGCCUUGGCAACAUCGUGAGACCCUGUUUCUACAAAAACUAAACAAGUGUAGUGGUGCACGCCUGUAUUCCCAGCUACUUGGGAGGCUGAGAUGGGAAGAUCACUUGAGCCUGGGAGGUUGAGGCUGCAUUGAGCUGAGAUCAAGCCACGGCACUCCAGCCUGGGAGACAGAGCGAAACCCCAUCUCAAAAAAACAAAGAAAGUGGAUGCGUGCUGCUCCUGCCAUUGGAUCAUCGCAGCAUUUUUCUUUUCUCUGAUAUGCGCCUUUUUCCUCAUCGUGGGGGCUCAUGUUUUCGUAAUUCCCUCUCGCUACUAGAUUGUGAGCUGUGUGAAGGAAGGUUCAUAGUUGAGUUGUAUGUACAGGCACACAAAAUUUGUCCUUGGAUAGACACAUAUCAAUCCACUUCCUUCUCCUCUCUGAAUUUCUUUAUUUAAAAAAAAAAGUAGAGAUGGAGUCUCACUGUCUUGCCCAGGCUGGUGUCAAACUCCUAGGCUCAAGUGAUCCUCCCACCUCUACUAAUAUGAAUUAUUAGGCUAUGCUAAUAUGAAUUUGUAUACUAAUAUGAUUGAAAUUAGUUUGACUUCUAUAAUAAUUGUUCUCCCAGAUUGGGCUUCUGUUUUGAUAGUAGAACUAAAUUAUUAGGCUAUUUCAAGAAAUUAAUAUAUUACUGGUAGAAAAACUGAAGCUACAAAAUGGCCUGGUUUCUCACUUCAGUUAAAUUUGUGCUUCUGAGUGCUUGUAUUCUAGGUGAAACCGCACUGAGAAGGUAUUUGUGGCCUAUACGCUGAUUCAUUGAUUAGACUUCUUUGCACAGGAGAGCUGCUAAAAAUUACUGCGGUGAACAGGUACGAAGAAAAAGACUGUUCUCUGCCCUUCUUUUUGCAAUAAAAUGUUACAAACUAUCUUGAGUUUGAUCCCUUUUCGGGUGUUUGGGUUUUUUUUAACAUUCACAUAUUUCUUGGAAUUAUAAGAAAUUAACUUUGUGCUUCUGAAGUGGGUUUGCCUUAAUAUAACACUGAUGUAUUUGUAAGGGGCAUUUUUAAAGCUGUACUUUAAAAAAUAAUAAUUCUUACAUUCAUUUGAAGGUU
ensembl:lncRNA novel transcript